GACAGGGGGUGCAACCGUUGUUCGGAAUUACUGGGCGUAAAGCGUGUGUAGGCGGCCAUGUAAGUCGGAUGUGAAAGCCCCGGGCUCAACCCGGGAAGUGCACUCGAUACUGCGUGGCUUGAGUACCGGAGAGGUUGGUGGAAUUCUCGGUGUAGAGGUGAAAUUCGUAGAUAUCGAGAGGAACACCGGUGGCGAAGGCGGCCAACUGGACGGAUACUGACGCUGAGACACGAAAGCGUGGGGAGCAAACAGG
rnacentral:rRNA from 1 species